rnacentral:rRNA from 1 species
UACGUAGGGUGCGAGCGUUAAUCGGAAUUACUGGGCGUAAAGCGUGCGCAGGCGGUUUUGUAAGCCAGGUGUGAAAUCCCCGGGCUCAACCUGGGAAUGGCAUUUGGGACUGCAAGGCUGGAGUGCGGCAGAGGGGGGUAGAAUUCCACGUGUAGCAGUGAAAUGCGUAGAGAUGUGGAGGAAUACCGAUGGCGAAGGCAGCCCCCUGGGCCAAUACUGACGCUCAUGCACGAAAGCGUGGGGAGCAAACAGG